rnacentral:tRNA from 1 species
GCGGGAAUAGCUCAGCGGUAGAGUACAACCUUGCCAAGGUUGGGGUCGCGAGUUCGAGUCUCGUUUCCCGCUCCA